UUUAUGGAGAGUUUGAUCCUGGCUCAGGAUGAACGCUGGCGGCGUGCCUAAUACAUGCAAGUCGAGCGAACGGACGAGAAGCUUGCUUCUCUGAUGUUAGCGGCGGACGGGUGAGUAACACGUGGAUAACCUACCUAUAAGACUGGGAUAACUUCGGGAAACCGGAGCUAAUACCGGAUAAUAUUUUGAACCGCAUGGUUCAAAAGUGAAAGACGGUCUUGCUGUCACUUAUAGAUGGAUCCGCGCUGCAUUAGCUAGUUGGUAAGGUAACGGCUUACCAAGGCAACGAUGCAUAGCCGACCUGAGAGGGUGAUCGGCCACACUGGAACUGAGACACGGUCCAGACUCCUACGG
rnacentral:rRNA from 1 species